AGGCCCCGCCCCUCUCCCCUCCCCUCAGCGGCCCUUGGGCGGGGCCUCCGGCGGAGCGAGGCGGGGCCGGGUGGCGGCUCGUCCUCCUCAGGCGGCGCCGGGCGGGCGGGGUGGACUCGCUUCGCUUGUCCGCUCCUGCGUGAGUGCCUGCACGGCCGCGGGAGCAGCGGUGUGAGUUCUGUACAUCUCUUCCAGCGAGAAAAGAGCUGAAGCUUUGAAAAGGGCAACAGGAGAGACACCCUGUAUGAGGUCCAUGUGCUUGAAUGCACCUGACAAUGUAACUGUAAGCACUGUUUUCCUGACAGAGAGCACAGCAAAGCGUAAGGCACCAGUUGAAGCUCAAUUCUGCAGACUGUUUCUCCAAGGACCCUCUGCUGUGGUGCAGUCAGAAGAUGAAUCUUCCCACUGACACUUGGCUGCUGCAAAUAACUGCUGUAUUCCAUCAUUUCUGUUUUCCUCUCACUCACUGGGAACCUGUGAUUACUCUUUUGUUGUAUGAGAAGUCCUGUACCUUCCAAAACUUCAGCUGCCAAUACUAAAUGAAAUUAAAAGACCAAUCUGUCUGGGAACAGAUAAUUCUGUCAGAGCUACCUGAAGCCUCACAUUUCGCUGUAAUCUGAUACCCAUGACUUAUUAAAAUCUGCAGGUUUAACCAUCUCUGAUAGAUAUCAAGUUACUUUAUUUUAAUAGUGUUUACUUAAUUUGCAAAGUGUUCAUUUUAUUUCAGCAUUUUUGAGAAGAUGAUGCCUCUUUCAUUUAACUUUGUCUGCUUCCUCUUUUUACAUGGGUUCCUAAAAAUACUUUUACAGACCUCCUGUUUUAAAUAUGUUGCUGAUUAUAUCUGCAUGAAAAAUGCGUUUUGAGGCAUAUUUUCUAUUUCACAGAUAAACUACAGUACCCCAUAUGUUAUUAUCCCAAAACAAAUUGCACCAUUGUAUCCAUUGCCAUUACCUUUCAUCGUUCUUGGUAAGACUUUUACUUCACAGGCAGCAGCAUCUCUGAGAGUGAAAAUCAUAUGCUUCUUUCAGCUUGUAUUAUUAGAUGUCCUUAUAAAAGUAUGAGAUGUUUUAA